rnacentral:rRNA from 1 species
UACGUAGGGUGCGAGCGUUAAUCGGAAUUACUGGGCGUAAAGCGCACGUAGGCGGACUAUUAAGUCAGGGGUGAAAUCCCGGGGCUCAACCCCGGAACUGCCUUUGAUACUGGUAGUCUCGAGUCCGAGAGAGGUGAGUGGAAUUCCGAGUGUAGAGGUGAAAUUCGUAGAUAUUCGGAGGAACACCAGUGGCGAAGGCGGCUCACUGGCUCGGUACUGACGCUGAGGUGCGAAAGCGUGGGGAGCAAACAGG